CGUAGGGGCGAGCGUUGUCCGGAAUUAUUGGGCGUAAAGCGCGCGCAGGCGGUCUCUUAAGUCUGAUGUGAAAGCCCACGGCUCAACCGUGGAGGGUCAUUGGAAACUGGGGGACUUGAGGGCAGGAGAGGAGAGCGGAAUUCCACGUGUAGCGGUGAAAUGCGUAGAGAUGUGGAGGAACACCAGUGGCGAAGGCGGCUCUCUGGCCUGUACCUGACGCUGAGGCGCGAAAGCGUGGGAGCAAACAGGAUU
rnacentral:rRNA from 1 species